AAUUUAAUAAAUUAACAUUUGUGUUAUUUUGUCAAUUUUUGUGCGAGAAGCGGAGAAUGCUGCAUUUGGUUCUAAGACCACAUUGUAUCGCUCGGCAUUUGGGGGCUGGUGGGGUGGGGAGUGGGCGCCACUCGGGUCAUAAAUUCAGAGACUAACUAUAGAUCCGAAACGAUACGACCCGAACCGGUUGGUUCACUUUUACUCUCAUCGCCAGCGGAUUGCCGGUCGCAUCAUGGGUUCUCGGACCCUCUGCCCGUCUCUUUGGACUGCGCCGUAAACCAAUUUUAAUUUAUGCUAAUUGUUCCGAGUUGGCAACAUCAAUUGGGACGCAGCACGCGAGAAACGCAGUCAAAUGCGAUUCCGAAACCAUCGGCAUUUAUUUUUACUUUUAAUUGGGAGCCAAAAUUUGUUAGACCUUCGCGGAUCGGAACGUUGUAACAGGCACAAAACUGUUGCGUUUUUUGCACGCAUUUCUCUCGCUGCCGGGGAUUGAUGCACAAGGUCGGAAUCCGUGUCUCUUGAUCGAUGCACAAUUGCCGGCAAGUGAUGGCUGCCGAUCUAGCGAUCCAUCUGGAGCCACAGCGAUCCACCGAUCCACCGAUCCACCGAUUCAGCGAUCACAGAUCACCGACUAUGCUUAUUGGCAACUACAAAAAGUUGCCCCAUAAUUCAUCGCAUUUUAUUUUUAUUGUGCUGAGUGACUCUUUAUACACCGAUGUUUCCCUCUUUCCGUGGCGUGUCAAAUGCACAACAAGGUUCUUGUUUCAUCCGUUAGAUCCGCCAUGAUCAUAUACCCCUUACAUACACACUGUUCACUGGUCAUAAAUCAUCCGGUGCUGUGGGAAUCGAAGUGUAUCUCGGAAUCUGUAUCUGUAUCUGCAUCUUUAUCUCUAUCUGCAUCUGUAUUUCUAUCUGUAUCUGUAAAUGUAUCUGUAUCUGGAGUUGGCGGAAAGUUCAAUGUUAAAGGCAAGAGACAAAAGAAUUUGCCACAGUUCAAAGCAUCAUUCAUUAUCCAAUUGCGAUCGAGCUGGAGCGUUUAGACCGUUAACGGUUAACUGGGCAAGUCAACUGGGCCCCAAAGAGCCAAAGAGGUCCCAGCAAAUUGAAUACCCAGAUCCGAAACGCGCCCAGUUUCGGAUCUGCUAUUUGUCUUAGCCUUUGUCUUGUUUGCUUUGCAUUGGCUUGGUUUGGUUAGUUAGCGCUGCUUGUUACCAAUUUCUGGGGUUUCUGGGGUUUCUGGGGUUUCUGAGGUUCGCGAGCUUUGUGGUUCAAGGCCUUCGCUUGACAGUGGCUCAAAGGACGUGGAUGUGUUGAUGUUUUGCUUCAAUGGGGAGCGGCAGAUUACCUAAUAAUCGAUCUUCCGUGCUGUUUAAACUUUAACACCCUACGAUUUAACUUAAAAUCGUUAGUUUACACUUAUAUUUGUACACUGUCUAAUAAACUAAAGGUGGUCAAUAAAAUGAUUAAAAAUCCUUUUGCAAUUUUUGAAGUUUAUACUCCAAAACGGAUUUAUCAGCCCGAAAUACAUAACUGCCAAAUCGUUAAUCGAUUAAUGUGAUUUGCUGUACAUUUUGAGUGCGCUGAUUUGUCACUGGUUAGAAUUUAAUAGUGUCAUAACUUAGACAAAACCUGUAGCCACUGUAGACUGUAGCUUCCAAAUGAACGUAUUUAUCGACCGCAGAAGAGAGUUAAUUAAUUCGAUUGCAAAACAAAUGUGUUAAUUGAACCAAAAAUGUUCCCAGCUGGCGAAGACGAGCGCAGUGCCAGAACAAUGCCUUGGGGAAUUCUAAUACUGGGAAAAGGCAGCCCGAUGACCACAAAAGUGAAGGCUCUUGGCCUCAGACUCAAAAAAGUGCAUCCAAUGAAACUGCCAUUUGGUCAGUCGAAGUCUGAGAACUUUCAAGUCACCUGCAGAUGCACACGGAUAAGUGCAUACUAGCUGUAUGGUUGCGAUUUACUCGCCGUCUGGCAGAAAUCGAGUUUCGUUGACGGCUCCUAAGCAUCUGCAAAUUGUAACUAAGCGCGGGUUUUUCUUCGCCUUUACGAGCAGUGGCUAUAAUUGAGUAUAUGAGAAUGAGAAUAUAAAAUUUUCAAGGCCAGAGUCCGCUCGGAUCAUCACGGCUUACGGCUUAGUUUCGCAACCACGGCGAAGUUGGCCAUCCAAACGACUGGCGAUGAUGGUGGGCGCCCCAUCACGUAACUAGAACACAAUGCAGGCACUCAGGAGCUUAGAUUUGCGGGGUUUUGGGUGAAGAGGCGAAAUGGUUUAAGAAUACGUUCAGCUUGUGUUCUUUUAAUAUGUUAUUCACUUUUUCAUUAAUUCAUUAGUUCCAAGUUCUGCUAUGAUAUACUGCUAUUUUGGCAAGGCUCAAUGAAGUUCCUAAUAAUAUUAAAGAGUUUAUUAUCCAGAGUGGUUCUAUUAUUGAUAGACUUAGUUCCCUUAAAAGCCGCUCCUGUCGAAAUGCAGUGGAACACAAAAAAAAAACCCAGUGCGUAGACCACAUAAAAUGACUUUUUUGGCUCGGUCAAGUGAGUGUGCCGCAGUGUUAAUUUGUGUCUAAAAGCAACUCAUUAAAAGUGAUAUUAUGAUGAAUAUAACGAAAAUUAAUUAAACAUUUUUAUGAUGCACCAAACAGUUGGGGCCGUAAAACUGAAGAUUCAGAUGUACCGAUUGCCUGCGGUUUAUCGGGAACAACGACUUAAUGUAUUCCCUUAGUAGCGCAUAAAUUAAAUUAAUAUGUAAGAUCCUGUUCAGAGUUAGGUACGAAUAUAAUAUUAACGUUGGAUUUGGCACUGCGUGUAAGGCGAGGCAUCCACUUAGAGAUAAACACAGUUUUAUUGGAUUUAAAUGAGCUGUGAGGUGGAUGUUUUUUCAAAGCAACUGGAAUCAAUAACUAAGAAGCUUGGUGAAAAAGUUGUUGAUAAAAUGUCUCUGAGCUAAAAGGAUUUGUUUAAUCCGAAAAGCAUAAGAGCAUUCUUCGAUCGAAUACCUCUCACCGACUAGUUCCCUGCUAAUCGAUUCAUUAUACCUGCAUUUAUCACAACUCCCCAUUCGUUUUGCCUGACAGACGAGAGACCAAAAAAUAAAAUUAACAAAAUGCUAACUUGAAGUCAUAACAGAGUUCUAUGGCCAUAUAUAACAAUCUAAUAUUAUAAAGAACUUAAGAACUUGUUAUAUUCCCGCUGCAAGCUGCGCAGCGAAAGUUUUACCAAAUUUAAAUCUCACAAAAGGGAGGAAUACAAAUGAUUUUCUUUUGUAUUCUAAUUUCAUAAGCGAAGCACCUUAAAAUUUCUCAAGGUCAGCAAAGAGUUUGAAUAACGAUUUUUGGCUUUUGGUCAGGAAAUGCGCGAAGCAAAUUUAUAAAUUCAAGUUUAUGAAACUGCCAAAAGUGGGAGAGAAAAUGCAGAUUAGCUUGAAUAAACACAACACAUUUGGCCAGAGAGAACUGAUCCGUUAUUUUAAUUGCAAUGUUCUGAAUGCGAGCAGUGAAUUUAUGGCAAGAAGCGGUCUGAAAAAUGCAAAAACCGGCUGAGUCGAAAUUAUGGAAAUUCAAGAUGUAUUUUAUAGCCCAAAUACCCGUAUUUCGGAGUGUGUGUGUUCGCUGCGAGCGCGUUUUGCAUCGAAUGUUUGAUGUCACUGCUGCCAGUUAUUUGACAAUCUUGUCACAUCGAUACCUCUCUUCUGUUUUUGCCCAGCUGCUUUUUAUAGUGUUUUUUUCAGCCAAAAACUCUAUCGGCGUCUGCUACCCAGUGUGUUUGACUUGGUAAUGAGACAUGCUCGCUGUCGCCGCUUCAAUUAAGCCAAUCUUGAUGCGGUUGAUUGCGAUGGCAUCUUGGCUCGAAGCCAGCUUGCACACCAGCAGCGAUUUUAUUUGUAUCUUUGUAUCUUUGUGUUUUGUUUAUUUAUAUAGAUUGUGUGACUCCUCUAAUUGCCAGGCUACCGAAAUCAGCCGCAUAACCGAGCACCUAAUUCGCUGGACAAUCUUUUUGUUUACUGUUCGCUCCCACACGUGGUAUACAUAAUAUUACGCAUUCGCACUGUGGGACAGCGCAUGCUAGUGCAUCCGUCUCGCUUCCGCCUUGACGUCACCAGUUCUAUUUGGAACUUGGCAACAGCCGCUGGCCACGAACAGUCCUGCGUGGCUUUAUCGAUCGCCUGUGAACCCCGAGUCGAGGAUUGUGGCAGUCCAAAGCCAAGGACGUCAUCAGUUUCAAGUGCGUGUCGCCCAUACACAUAAAAUUCUAUAUAUAUUGUUCACUAUAUCUGGCCUGGCUUUGAUUUGUUUUUGUGAAUGUGAAUGAGUGUGAGUGUGAGUGUCUCGGGCCUUAAUUAUAUGCCUCGAGCACGAGCCCCCCAAGUCUGAGUUGCUUGCCCUUCUGUUUCGCUUGAAGUUGUAUAAUUGCAUGUCUCUUGUGUUCGAUUAUUGCUAAUGUUGCAUGUUUCAGGGGAGCAGAAGUCGGUUCUUUGACGCAUUUCCACCUGUGAUUAUUCGUUUUUCUUGGCUUAAUUUAUGAGCUGUUGGGCUAGGCUGGGUUUUCAUCGUUUAUUUAUGGUUAUGGGCUUUGAGCUCACCAGGUAAUAGGUUUUCCGCGAAUCGCCUGAGAUUUACAUAUCUUUGUUUUUUAAAUAUUUCGACAUCUUAAAACUCCUCUUAAAUGUAUUUAUUUAGUAUUUUCAUCUUUUUGUAUUGUAUAUAUGCUCUGCUUUUAUUUCAAUUUUCAUCGUUCACACCAGAAAUGAAGUGAAAACCCCAUUAAGAAAUCAGCUCCCUUUACAUUCGUUCCGCCGAAAAAUUCGCAUUUUGCUGUUUAAAUUCCGAACACGACUUUCAAGGUCCUUUGGAAGCGACCCUGCCAUAAAAAGAAGCAAGCCCAAAGUUCUGAUGGUAAAAGAAGGCGUGUUACAUCAAGGACUUCUGCGGGGGUGCGUGUGCUUUGUAUAUCCUGGCGGUAUCUACAAGUGUGAAAUCAUCGUGGGGGCCAAACAAAAACAAAUGCGGGGAAGAGUUAACACCCAACGGACGACCUUGCGUGCCACGUGAGAGUCGUGAGGCACUCUCCGGGCGAAAUGAGGGGUAGGUUGAGGUGGGUUGGGUGGUUGCAUUCAACUUUCGUUGGCCGCUGUUGGAAGAGAGAGCGUCGCAGAGAAAGAGCCCAGUCAGAGAUACUCGCGGAAUGACGACCCCGACCUAGCAACUUUCCACAAUGACGUCACAACGGAGAGCAGCACAGAGAGUUUCCAGGGGGUGUAUCUGUGGCCUAUAUAUACAUACAGUGCGUCCGGUGGUGUUAUACCGCCCCUCCCCCUUUUUUCGUGCGCCUUCGAUGAUUACGCCAUCAAACUGGCGACUGGAAGGGGCUCGUUGGGGUCUUCGAUUUUUCCAUGGUCGGUGUUAUUUUUGCACGUGAGCUCCGCUUCCUCUUCUUCUUCCGCCUCUGCAGUGGGCCAAAAAAGCGGCUGUUUAAAAAUAGUUAUAGCCACGGGGCGUUGUUUUUCUACUCGGCAGAGUUUCGCUUUCAGGUUAUAACCUUUAAGCAUGGGCUUAAAUUCCCUAUCGUAGUUGGGCAAUGCAAUGUUUCUUGUUAUCAAGUGAAGAUAAAGAUGUUUAUGAUCUCGUAAAAUGGAAAAAUGGUGGCCAAAUCUAAUAACUUUAUACCAACUGAAAUUGCAACAAAAUGUCUAACAAACACAACCUAAACACCUCCAGUGACUCUUCAUUCCAAUCGGACUUUCCGUGGGCCGUCUGUCUGCCAAUCAAACCGAUGCGGCAGUUGCAAUCUCGGCUUUCAGUGUCUGCCGCAUCUUCAAGUGCGGCGACGAACGAAUCAACGAAACAACGAAACGCUGGCAAACAAGUUGCGCGCCGAAACAUGAAAUAAACAAGCCAAUUGACAAUGUAGCAGGGAAAAACAUGGAAUUAUUGGCCACGAUACUGGCGAAUUUAAAAUGCACUCUUAUGGGGUGCAUUUAAAUACAAAGUAAGGAGAGUAGUUGCUUUAAAAAAUACGUAAAUACGUGGCCACACGUUAUGUGCGAAACGGUUACUAAAUUUUUAACAGUGAUAAAUAUAUUAAAAAAUGUCUUUUGGCCAAUUGGAGCUAUAAUAAUUAUAUUAUUUUUUUUAAUUUUAUUCGAACUAAAAGUAUUAUAACUCUUUAAUGCCGAAAAUAACGCUGUAGAGUAAAAACAAACUAAAAUCUCAUCAAUUUGAGGCUUACUUAUGCGAACAACAAAAAUUUGUACACCGAUUCGUUGUAAUUUUUUUAAUCAAUUUUUUCUAUUUUUAUUUUCGUUUGCUGGGCUGCUGGCUGAUUUUCCUUUUGGAAAAGAACUAGCCAAACAGACAAAUCUUCUAGCUCGGCAACAGAGACUCAGCCUAUUAGCAAACAAUUUUUGUUUGAUUACAAAACCAACGACGUACGCACAAGGGGAAACUUGUUAAAUGCAGCUUCUUUUUUCUUAACGUUUUUUACGGCCUUUUUCACAACUCUGCGAACACAUUCGUCAAGGUGGCAGCGCGCAGGAAAGCCAACAGCAAAUAAUUAAAAUAAUAAAAUUAACCAAGCAAACAUUAUGGACAAUAAAUUUUCUUGAAUUUUGACGACGCACUAAUGCUUAAUGUUUGGUUUUUGGUUUUAAUUCUUAACGUGUUUUUUGGAAUUUUCUUGAUUUGAUUGCAAUUUAUGGCUGGCCUGUUCUCGCUAAAAUUUGUUAAACGUUGUGUAAUCCUUUUUGUUGAAUUUAAUUGCAGCUUAGGUAGUUUGAAUGGGAAUAAAGUGAAGACGUAGGUGUCAGGUGUCCAAAAUAAUGUUAAAUGUAAAACUAUUUCCAAAUGUGCGGCAAUAAAACAAAGCAUCUGCUCAAAUAUGUUGUAACGUAUGACUUUGGAAAUAAGUUGUGGUCCAAAUGGUAAAAUUAUUUAAGAAUAUUUCCACAAAUAUGUACAUCUCCUUACAUUAAUUGUGUUAAGUAUACGUUUUUUUUAAUAAAAUAUUUGAGCAAAAAACAAGUUCCUAAUUGUUAAUUUGUCUUGUAAAGUAUGACAGAUUCAAGGCAAUCAAACUGCCAAAAACCUCAAAAUUAACAUCAAGCUCAUCAAGUGCAUGGCAAAAUUAAGAAAUAACCAAAAAAUGCAGAAAGAAAAAAUAGAAAAACGCCGCAACAAGAGGCCAACGGCCAGGCAAUCCAAUCAGUUUCAAAUUAAGGUUUACAUGUGCGAGAGCCGCCAGCAGCCUGCCAGUCGAAAUUGACCAACAACCGGCAACAAAGUGGCCAAAAUAAAAGAAAGACCCGCUGAGGGGAAACCGUCCGAAAGGAAAACCUGUCCGCUGUCCAACAUUCGAUGUCGGAUGAACUCUGGCGACGCCUCACCGAAGUAUUGCAUUCCCAUGCCGCCGAUCAGCAGAUGAUAAUGAGGAUGGUGCUACUGACUGGUGGUGGUGAUGGUGGUGUGGGUGAUGGUGAUGGUGGGGGUGGGGGUGGUGGUGCACUGGUGCUGCUGAUGACAUCGUCUUGGCAGUGGCUUCAUCCGCCGACUGACAGCACGUUCUUCUUGCAUGCCACCGAUGCGACAUCCACCACGCCUCGUGAUUUGUGGACAUUGCACUCGAAGGGAGUGCAACUUGCACAGAAAUCGAAACCAAAACAAACCCAGCCGCGGAAUGUUGGCCAAAAUGCAGAAACACGACCGGGCAGUACUGAUUGAUUUCAGAAAAGCACUUCAGCAUUCCCAAAUUAUAUCAAAGAAACUAGAAGCUCAAAGGAAAGUCCGAAAAUUUAAUUUAACGCCUAAGUCUAAGGUAUUUUUAAGUACAUAUUAAACAAGUGAAAUCUUUUACCUUCUUAUUUAAGAAUAAGACAUAAUAAGAAUAUGAAUAUAUCGACAAUGAACUAAAACCCAUUAAAAAGGGUUUAGGCUACACCAAACUGUAGUGACUUCCGCCCUUCGUAAAUAUUACAUCCCUCGAAUACCACGACUGAGGACAACUAUGCGGAAUUGAAAGCCACUUGGAAUAGUUUCAUCGACCCGGGACGCGUUCUGUUCCCGAUCAGCCAGAAAUACCUCCAAUUUGGACAUCGAACUGGCGGGAAAGUUGGGUAUAUUGGUGCUGGCUAAUUACGCGGCGACUGUUUAAAUUUAAAACGCGGCAUACGCAUUUAGAAAUUAUUUAAGCAAUGCAGAAGCAGAAGAAUUCGCGCUUUCCGUAUUUAUUUUUAUUUUCGAAUCGCCAGCAUCGUGUGAAUCAAUCGAGGAGCACAUCCAACGAAUCGAUCGGCAAUUAAUAACGAAACGCGCUCACAAUCAAUAUAAUAAACACAAUUAAACCAGACAAACCAUAAUUAUUACGUAAUUGAGGUGGGUUGUUCAUUAUGCAUCUGAUUUGAGUUCCCCGAUAAUCCGACGAUGGGACUGGAACUAAUGCUGGUCUAUGGUCUAUGGUCUGUGGUCUACGGUUUGUUGUCCAUCAUGGUUUCUGGCCAUUUGGCUUGUUGCUUUGUGGCUGCCCGAUGUCUUGGCCAUCGAUCAGCGAUGAAGAGCAUAAUGGCACCUCCCCGACCACCGCGUUUCGUUAUAAAAUUCGCAUAAAUCAACGCAAAUAAUUAAGCAGUCGCAGAGCAGUCCCCACCAGUUGCUAAUAUCGAGAGUUUGCUAUCCAUCUGCCUAGACGCGGGCCUCCCAUCCCAACAUAUACAUAUAACAAAAAAUCCCAAAUCCCAAGCAAAACAAAACAAAAAUCACCUCAAAAAGACAAAUUAACAAAUUCACUUUUGUGGUCUUUACUCAUUCGCACAGUGCGAAAAUGAAUAGCAAAAGUGCGAGACGAGCUGAUUCAAAGAUAGUUGAGAUAGGUUGCAGAUGUAUUUACCAUACAUUUUAAGAUUACGAUUAUAACAGACUGAGGGCUUAGAAGAAUUUGGAAAAGUUUCAAGCUGAAUCGAAGACAGUUUAAUGGAGAUGAAAAGCUAAAUUCGAUUUAAAGAUAUAAGAAAGAGGCGAUUGACGGCUUUUUUGCCUAUAUUACUUUAAAAAAAAUUACAGAUGACAGCUUUAAAUUUUGCACUCUCGAACUUGAGUUUGGCAUUGAGUUAAAGGUAUUAUAGUUAUUGUAAACUAUUAUAAUACAUUAGCUAAUAGCAAGUGCUAAUUUUUCCAUUGUUCUAAGUGUAAGGAAAUGCACAUCAAAUUGGCCAUUACACCAGUAUCGAAGAACCAGGAGAGCGUAGACAUGGAUAAAUGUUCAGAUCCUAACCAUGUCAGUGGGCUAUCCAACUAACGCUUUUUUAUACACCUGUGCCGCCUGUGUCUGUAUGGUAAGUAUGGAAAACGAAACUUGGAAGGCGACUACUGGUCUUGGCAGAUGGGGCUGCUCCGCGGAAACCGGUGUGCCCGAGUAGUUUAUUUUUUCGACGCGGUGUGGAGUGUCUCUAUGAGGAAUGGGCAAAAGACGCAACAAUCAACAAUGGCUAUCCCGACAGCUGCCGCGGAGAUAACUCACAACGCACGACGGAUCGUGAAUAACUAUACAAUGAAGGGGCCUACGAUAUAUUUUAUCAAAUUUUUUUCGGGUGUCAUAGAUAUGUGAGUAGGUAUUUUGUGAGUUUGUGAUUUUGCAUCAUUUAUCAAGCUCGUUUCGCAGGGGUUAAUCAGUGAGGGAAGCGGUGAUCAUCUUGAUCCCUGGAAGGGAAGUGCAUUGAACAGCUGUAUAUGUGUGGCUCAAGCAGACCUUUUACUCAGUCGCUUUGGGCCAUGUUGAAAUGCAAUUGGCUACGCCCCAGAGAUGUUGUCAUGUUGAACGGGGCAACGGGGCGUAUGAGCAAUCAAGGCGAAUCGAAAAGAAAGGGUAAAAGCAACAAACUUUUCACACGCCCUUUCGUGAGUAUCGAGUAAAAACGAAACGGAAAAUAAAAUCGAAAUCUAAGUAGUCGUAGAAAUAAGAAAUACGCUGACUUGUGAUAAUACUGCAGGCAUUUAGCCAACUCAUCCCCGAAAUAAGACGUCAUCAGCACGUGGCCAGCCAUAAAUAUAAUGAAAAUAAAACCGAACCAAUUAUAAGAUAAAUAUAUAUAUAUACCAACAUAUUAGGGGAUGCAGCUGACGCAAGGAAAGUGCAAUCUUUUCACGGUUUCGUCAUAUAUUUUCGAUUUUGCGGCGACGAUGACGUUUUCGGCACUCGUGCCUCGGGAAAACACCCAUACUAUGGAAACUGUGUGUGCCGUGUGAUCCGUUAAACUGGCCGAUUUCAUGGCCCCGCUGUCGUCAUGGCUUAUAUACUAUUUACUAGUAUUAAUGCGCUGAAUGCACCUCACCUGGUCAUAUGUUCUUCGGCGAUUUGUUCUUUGGUUUGUCAUCCGCCGUCGGGCACUUUUGGCGCCCAUCGCCAUAAUUGUACUAUACAACCAACUUAUAAAUAGAGAUGUUUGUUUUGCCACAGCUAGUUGUCAACUGAAUCUAGAUCAUUUUGCCCUUGCAUUUUCACUUUUGCAAUCGAUUGGUAACCCUCCGUUUGGUGUUGAACUGCAUUUCACCAUAAGUAAUAAUACAAGUAAAAACUAAUUUAUUACUUGGGUUAAGGUUUCAAAAAUCGAUCUUAAAACUAUUGAAAACUAUCCUGAAUAGGAUGCACCAAAUAUCUAUCAAUAAACCAGCAAACAAUUUAAGAUUUAUUGUUUAGUAAUUAUAGCGCAGUAAUAUUAUUUAUUAAAUCAAUUUAGAAUGUUUAGUAAACAGUAAAUUCCUGUAUUGCCCCAUUGCAGUCGACAAUGCUAGCCACAGAGUGUUUAAAAGCCGAGUGCUUGGAAACAAUUAAUGGGCGCUAAGUUAGCUGCAAAACACAGACUCUUAAGAAGCGGCUAACAAGUGGCUAACCAACUUUGCCGCAGCAAAUGAAUUGGCAAAGCCUUUCAAGGCGUUUAGUAAGCUCAAUAAUCGGAUACCACCCACCACCCACUCGGCAAAGAAGUGAUCGAUCUUCCUUCCGUGUGUUUGAGCAUCAAUCGGCGAUGUAUUCAUGCGGUUCUCGCUGGUUAUUAAUAAAAUGCAUUGGCCAUCCAUCCCCGUCGAUAAUGAGUUUCUUUGUGGGUAACCGUGUGGAAAUCGGACGCACUGCAUCUGUGUGCGGUGUUUAUUGUGCAGCUUGUAAAUCACUUUGCGUCAGGCUGCGUCCGCUGCCGUCUGCUGAAACUGCGGCGCUUUGCUGACGCUGGUAAACAUGUGUACGACACCAACAACAGCAGCACAUGCUCACCAAAAGCCAAGACGGGUCUGCACACACAGCUAAGGUCAACGUGGUUGUAUUUGAUUUAAGCCCGUUUUCACAGAUCGGGAUAGUUGGGCAGGGUGCGUGGAUGCCAAACUUGAAAUUUCCAAAAUGUAUCAAUUAUUUUACCAACUAUUUGUCAAUAAAAUUAUUUUAAAACUUUA